rnacentral:rRNA from 1 species
AUUGAACGCUGGCGGCAGGCUUAACACAUGCAAGUCGAACGAGUGGCGGACGGGUGAGUAAUGCUUGGGAAUCUAGCUUAUGGAGGGGGAUAACUACGGGAAACUGUAGCUAAUACCGCGUACCAUAGGAUGAGCCCACGUGGGAUUAGGUAGUUGGUGGGGUAACGGCUCACCUAGGCGACGAUCCCUAGCUGGUCUGAGAGGAUGACCAGCCACACUGGAACUGAGACACGGUCCAGACUCCUACGGGAGGCAGCAGUGGGGAAUAUUGCACAAUGGGCGCAAGCCUGAUGCAGCCAUGCCGCGUGUAUGAAGAAGGCCUUCGGGUUGUAAAGUACUUUCAGCGAGGAGGCGUUAACUACAGAAGAAGCACCGGCUAACUCCGUGCCAGCAGCCGCGGUAAUAC